AAUUUUAACUUCCCGGCGCAAAGGACAAAAGUUAAAGAAAACGCAAAAGGAAGAAAUAGUUAAUCUUAAAAAAUCUUCAGAACUCUACCAGUUAAAUAUUUCUGGUUUUAGAAUCCCAGAUUUGACCGAUAAGGCCAUUCUUUCGGCUUUUAA